GAUGAAGAACGCAGCGAAAUGCGAUAAGUAAUGUGAAUUGCAGAAUUCAGUGAAUCAUCGAAUCUUUGAACGCAUAUUGCGCUCUUUGGUAUUCCGAAGAGCAUGCUUGUUUGAGUAUCAGUAAACACCUCAAAGCUUUUGGAUUUUUUAAUCGAAAAGCUUUGGACUUGAGCAAUCCCAACACCAAUCUUUUUGAGAUCGGUGGCGGGUUGCUUGAAAUGCAGGUGCAGCUGGACAUUCUCCUGAGCUAAAAGCAUAUUCAUUUAGUCCCGUCAAACGGAUUAUUACUUUUGCUGCAGCUAACAUAAAGGGAGUUUGACCGUAUUGGCUGACUGAUGCAGGAUUUCACAAGGGUCGGCAACGAUUCUUGUUAAACUCGAUCUCAAAUCAAGUAAGACUACCCGCUGAACUUAAGCAUAUCAAUAAGCGGAGGA
rnacentral:misc_RNA from 1 species